GUGUUCAGUUGGUUAGAGCGUGGUACUGAUAAUGCCAAGGUUGCAGGUACAAUCCCUGCAGGGGACA